CCUACGGGAGGGCAGCAGUGGGGAAUAUUGCACAAUGGGGGAAACCCUGAUGCAGCAACGCCGCGUGAGCGAUGAAGGCCUUCGGGUCGUAAAGCUCUGUCCUAAGGGAAGAAUACUGACGGUACCUUAGGAGGAAGCCCCGGCUAACUACGUGCCAGCAGCCGCGGUAAUACGUAGGGGGCUAGCGUUAACCGGAAUUACUGGGCGUAAAGGGUGCGUAGGCGGUCCUUCAAGUCAGAGGUGAAAGCCUACGGCUCAACCGUAGUAAGCCUUUGAAACUGUAGGGCUUGAGUGCAGGAGAGGAGAGUGGAAUUCGCAGUGUAGCGGUGAAAUGCGUAGAUAUUGAGAGGAACACCAGUUGCGAAGGGGGAUCGCUGGACUGUAACUGAAGCUGCUGCACGAAAGCGUGGGGAGCGAACAGGAGUAGAUACCCGAGUAGUC
rnacentral:rRNA from 1 species